rnacentral:miRNA from 1 species
CUCGUACCGUGAGUAAUAGUGCA